UGACUGGCUUUGAUCACACAGGUGGCU
rnacentral:piRNA from 1 species